rnacentral:rRNA from 1 species
AUUGAACGCUGGCGGCAGGCCUAACACAUGCAAGUCGAACGGUAACAGGAAGACGCUUGCUUCUUUGCUGACGAGUGGCGGACGGGUGAGUCAUGUCUGGGAAACUGCCUGAUGGAGGGGGAUAACUACUGGAAACGGUAGCUACUACCGCAUAACGUCGCAAGACCAAAAAGGGGGACCUUCGGGCCUCUUGCCAUCGGAUGUGCCCAGAUGGGAUUCGCUAGUAGGUGGGGUAACGGCUCACCUAGGCGACGAUCCCUAGCUGGUCUGAGAGGAUGACCAGCCACACUGGAACUGAGACACGGUCCAGACUCCUACGGGAGGCAGCAGUGGGGAAUAUUGCACAAUGGGCGCAAGCCUGAUGCAGCCAUGCCGCGUGUAUGAAGAAGGCCUUCGGGUUGUAAAGUACUUUCAGCGGGGAGGAAGGGAGUAAAGUUAAUACCUUUGCUCAUUGACGUUACCCGCAGAAGAAGCACCGGCUAACUCCGUG